AUCAAAUACAACAAAUUUUUAGUCAUCAUGAAAAACUACGCGAUUUAACUAGCUUAAAUAAAAGACAGGCACCAAUUCCAGGAAAAAUAAAAUAUUAUACAUCACAAUAAUCUGCGACAACAUCACACCAUUGGUUCAGAACAGAGGUUCAUUCAGAACAAGUAUGGCCAAUUCUACCCUAUGCAUACCGACAAUCUGAAUCCUCCCCCCUACUAAAAGCUACCUAUCCCAAAAGGGAAACAUAGUGCCUACGACUGCUCUUCACUUUCUCUUCUUAGCAGGAGGCUGUGGAACCUCUUCCUCCUCUUCUUCCUCCUCUUCAUCCUCUUCAUCCUCUUCAUCAUCAUCUGUAGUGAUAUCUGAUUGAGGAAUGGACCCCAAGCAUCGAAAAUCGAAUCUUAUGUUUCUUAAACAUGUCAAGAAUUGCAUUAUAUCUUUCUUGAAUCCAAGAGAAUCCAUCCAAUAGGAUCUUUUCUUGUGUUUCCCGUUGUGAAUUCUUUCAAUCUCUUUCAUGACUGAUUGCCAGCUCUUGCAUGCAGCGGCCUUGUGACUGACUUUGAUCUGCCCAGCACAGGUGACCUUCGGUGAAGUUGGUUCUGCAAUCUCCGAGCCCAUUUGCUUGUUUUUGGCCCAUAGAAGAGGGCUGGCUUGGCCACCACCCCCACCCCUAGUGCUAGAUUUCUUUAGAGGGUGGUGGUGGUACUGGUGGUUAUGACGGUGGUUGUGGUGGCGCUUGCUGGGCUCUGCUGGUCUUGCAGGACUGCAAAUAGGUUUGGGCAGCAAGGCUAGAUGGGCUCUAGAAGGAAAACAAACCAACAGAUCUGCUGAUGGAGCUCCCUUGUUGACUUCCCUUGCUUUCAUGUUGAUUUCUCUCUAUUGUGUUUGAAGCCACUCGAUCACUUUCUUCUUCGUGCCGGUUCUCGCUUUCAGAUCUUGAGAAUGAUUAAGCUUAUGGUAUAAUGGGUUUUGAGGAAUGUUGAGAGAGAUGGAUGGUAUUAAAAGAAAAGGAGGGAAGAGAUUGACAGCUUUCAUCUGCUUUUUCAUCCUUUUUUAUUGGUAUCUCACUUCACCAUCUGUUUGUUCAUUUUUCAAAUACUCCUUUUUGUUGCCCUUUGAAAUGGGGUCACAGCUGAGCUUCUCCCAUGGCCUUUGCUUUUUUAAUAUUUCUCGCCAAGCCCAUUUAGAAAAAAUUGCAUAUGAAUAAAAGCAAAGAUGAUAGUAGGCACGUUGAAGCCAACGAGCAUCGUUUCAUGAUCCAAUGAUACCCUCAACAUGUGAUACUUUGCGACUUGUGAGCCCUUAGCUAGCUUUGUGCUUACUCGUAAUUAGCACAGGACUACUGCCAUCCAAUUGGAU
rnacentral:misc_RNA from 1 species